UGGGGAAUAUUGCACAAUGGGCGCAAGCCUGAUGCAGCCAUGCCGCGUGUAUGAAGAAGGCCUUCGGGUUGUAAAGUACUUUCAGUCGGGAGGAAGGUGGUAAGGUUAAUAACCUUAUCAAUUGACGUUACCGACAGAAGAAGCACCGGCUAACUCCGUGCCAGCAGCCGCGGUAAUACGGAGGGUGCAAGCGUUAAUCGGAAUUACUGGGCGUAAAGCGCACGCAGGCGGUUGAUUGAGUCAGAUGUGAAAUCCCCGGGCUUAACCCGGGAAUUGCAUCUGAUACUGGUCAGGUAGAGUCUUGUAGAGGGGGGUAGAAUUCCAUGUGUAGCGGUGAAAUGCGUAGAAAUGUGGAGGAAUACCGGUGGCGAAGGCGGCCCCCUGGACAAAGACUGACGCUCAGGUGCGAAAGCGUGGGGAGCAAACAGG
rnacentral:rRNA from 1 species